GAUGAACGCUGGCGGCGUGCCUAACACAUGCAAGUCGAGCGGACAGACGAGGAGCUUGCUCGUCUGACGUUAGGGGCGGACGGGUGAGUAACACGUGGAACACCUACCUAUAUGACUGGGAUAUCUUCGGGAAACCGGAGCUAAUACCGGAUAAUAUAUUGCAGCGCAGGGUUCAAUGGUAAAAUACGGUUGUUGUGUCUGGUCUAGCGGGAUCUGCGCCGCAUUAGCUGGUUGUGAAGGUAACAGGUUACGAAGGCAACGAUGCGUAACCGACCUGACAGGGUGAUAGGCCACCUUGGAGGUGGGACACGCACCAUACGCCUACGGGACGCAGCAGUAGCGAAUCGUACGCAAUGGGCGAGAGCUUUGCGGAGCAAGGCCGCGUGAGUGAUGAAAGCCUUCGGAUCGUAAAACUCUGUUAUUAGGGAAGAACAAAUGUGUAAGUAACUAUGCACGUCUUGACGGUACCGAGUCAGAAAGCCACGGCUAACUACGUG
rnacentral:rRNA from 1 species